rnacentral:rRNA from 1 species
GACGAACCGUGCGAACGUUGUUCGGAAUCACUGGGCUUAAAGGGCGCGUAGGCGGGCCCGCAAGUCAGGGGUGAAAUCCCACGGCUCAACCGUGGAAGUGCCUUUGAUACUGGCGGAUCUCGAGGGAGGUAGGGGCGGUGGCGGAACUUCCGGGUGGAGCGGUGAAAUGCGUGAGAUAUCGGAAAGGAACGACCGGUGGCGAAAGCGG